UACAGAGGGGGCAAGCGUUGUUCGGAAUUACUGGGCGUAAGGGCUCGUAGGCGGCCAACUAAGUCAGACGUGAAAUCCCCUCGGCUUAACCGGGGAACUGCGUCUGAUACUGGAUGGCUAGAGAUUGGGAGAGGGAUGCGGAAUUCCAGGUGUAGCGGUGAAAUGCGUAGAUAUCUGGAGGAACACCGGUGGCGAAGGCGGCAUCCUGGACCAACACUGACGCUGAGGAGCGAAAGCCAGGGGAGCAAACGGG
rnacentral:rRNA from 1 species